CUACGGGUGGCUGCAGUGGGGAAUAUUGCACAAUGGGCGCAAGCCUGAUGCAGCCAUGCCGCGUGUAUGAAGAAGGCCUUCGGGUUGUAAAGUACUUUCAGCGGGGAGGAAGGGAGUAAAGUUAAUACCUUUGCUCAUUGAUGUUACCCGCAGAAGAAGCACCGGCUAACUCCGUGCCAGCAGCCGCGGUAAUACGGAGGGUGCAAGCGUUAAUCGGAAUUACUGGGCGUAAAGCGCACGCAGGCGGUUUGUUAAGUCAGAUGUGAAAUCCCCGGGCUCAACCUGGGAACUGCAUCUGAUACUGGAAAGCUUGAGGCUCGUAGAGGGGGGUAGAAUUGCAGGUGUAGCGGUGAAAUGCGUAGAGAUCUGGAGGAAUACCGGUGGCGAAGGCGGCCCCCUGGACGAAGACUGACGCUCAGGUGCGAAAGCGUGGGGAGCAAACAGGAUUAGAUACCCUUGUAGUC
rnacentral:rRNA from 1 species